CUUUGUCUUCAGGGCGGGGUGUGAUUCCCCACUGGCGGUAAAGUCCGCGACCGGAUACUUCGGUAUUCGCUGACUCGGUGAAACUCCGGGACCAACAGUUACAGUCUGGAUGGAAGAAGAUGAGU
rfam:Oscillibacter sp. 57_20 Ley3_66761_scaffold_296, whole genome shotgun sequence.